rnacentral:rRNA from 1 species
GACGAACGCUGGCGGCGUGCUUAACACAUGCAAGUCGAACGAAGAGCGAUGGAAGCUUGCUUCUAUCAAUCUUAGCGGCGAACGGGUGAGUAACGCGUAAUCAACCUGCCCUUCAGAGGGGGACAACAGUUGGAAACGACUGCUAAUACCGCAUACGAUCUAAUCUCGGCAUCGAGGAUAGAUGAAAGGUGGCCUCUACAUGUAAGCUAUCACUGAAGGAGGGGAUUGCGUCUGAUUAGCUAGUUGGAGGGGUAACGGCCCACCAAGGCGAUGAUCAGUAGCCGGUCUGAGAGGAUGAACGGCCACAUUGGGACUGAGACACGGCCCAGACUCCUACGGGAGGCAGCAGUGGGGAAUCUUCCACAAUGGACGAAAGUCUGACGGAGCAACGCCGCGUGAGUGAUGACGGCCUUCGGGUUGUAAAGCUCUGUUAAUCGGGACGAAAGGCCUUCUUGCGAAUAGUGAGAAGGAUUGACGGUACCGGAAUAGAAAGCCACGGCUAACUACGUG